ACUCAGGGAAGAAACAUGCAAGAGGCCAGGUCUGGGUCAGCCUCCCACACCAGUGUCCUGGGAGCUUAGUCCAGUUCCAAAGUCCCUGGCUGGUCUGCCUAGUGCCAGAGAAGGGGCAGAGACGCCAGGCUCUCUCAGCACAAGCCGGUCUGUGCCUUCCUACAAACACCAACUACACACCUUUACCGGCUGCUCCCUUGCUUUCACAGAUACCUUGCCACUGAGCCAGCCCUCCUGGCUCCCAGCAGCCAAUCGAAAAUAUUAUGAAACCAAUAACCAACAAAGUGGAACAGCAUUCAAAAAUAUGAUGAAACUUGAGGCCUAGAGACAUUAUGGGAAUUGUCCAGGGUCACACAGUUGGUUUUCAUCAUGGAUGUCCUCCUAGCAUGUGGAAGAUGAUCCUAAUAAGUUUUUGUACAUGUGGGAAAUUUACUUCAAAAGGAAAAUGAUCCUGCAGAGGGAUGGAGUUGAAGGAGUGACUAGAGAAAAAGUCACAUCAGAAAGGAGGAGUCAUAUGACCUGAUUGAGAAAAAGUGACUCUAUCCACACAAAAGUGGGUAUAGAAGAAAGGAGGAACUAACCCUCUUUACCAACACAGCACAACACUCCUCCCCUUACCAUGGUAAAACAACAAUUACUCAAGAUGAAACAACAAAGACAGAUUGUAAUCUACAUGAGCGGAGGGACUAUCCAUACUUAUGAAAUAAUAUUUCCCAACUAUAUAGGUUAGAAUAUGAAUUUUGUUAUUGCAGGGCAACAGUUUUUCAUUACUCAUAUUUUUCUUAAACUAUUAAAAUGAAUCAUCAUUCCUU
rnacentral:lncRNA from 1 species